GUGGAACUCCCAUGCCAGAUAUACUGCCAAGGCCACCCUGAGGGGCUGCCAACCGGGGCCCCAUGAGUGCUAGAGCUGCUGGUCUUGUGACGUGGGCACCUGUCUUCCAGGCCUGGGCACGGGCCCAGGGUCACGCUCAUGCUGGGGCUCCCGUCAGCUGACUAUUUUGGGCUCUUGCUGACCUGGGCCAAAGUUAGGUCCAGCCAAGAGGGCCCAAAGUGGCUCCCCCCAUCCCCAGAGGCCAGCUCUGGUUUCUGCUAUAUAAACAGAGAAGGACACGCCGGCUUGGAGGCAGCACCACAUCCAGAGCUCGCUUAGCUGCUGUCCAGCCUCGGCUGUGAGGAUAGGCUGGCUGGGCAGCACGUCUCUCCCCGCAGGGCUCCCUGAGGCCGCCAGGAAGAGCCCCCAACCAAUAUUGGGAUUCUCCCUUCGUGCGGUUGUCUGGGACCUUUUUCCAGGGUCAAAGCAGAUCGUGAGGAGGAAGCUGAGAUGCCCUGUAUCCAAGCCCAAUAUGGGACACCAGCACCAAGUCCAGGACCCCGUGACCACCUGGCAAGCGACCCCUUGACCCCUGAGUUCAUCAAGCCCACCAUGGACCUG
rnacentral:sRNA from 1 species